AUGCCUUAAACUUAUGAGUAAGGAAAAUAACGAUACAGGGUGACGCCCGAAUCCUCACUGCUAAUGUGAGACGAAUUUUUGAGUGGGUAAAGUUUGCCCCUAAGGUGAUCCACCUACUUUGCGGGAUGCCUGGGAGUUGCGAUGUGCCUG
rnacentral:snRNA from 1 species